UACGAAGGGGGCUAGCGUUGCUCGGAAUUACUGGGCGUAAAGCGCACGUAGGCGGCUCUUUAAGUCAGGGGUGAAAUCCUGGAGCUCAACUCCAGAACUGCCUUUGAUACUGGGGAUCUCGAGUCCGGAAGAGGUGAGUGGAACUCCGAGUGUAGAGGUGAAAUUCGUAGAUAUUCGGAAGAACACCAGUGGCGAAGGCGGCUCACUGGUCCGGUACUGACGCUGAGGUGCGAAAGCGUGGGGAGCAAACAGG
rnacentral:rRNA from 1 species